UACGUAGGCAGCGAGCGUUGUUCGGAGUUACUGGGCGUAAAGGGUGUGUAGGCGGUUGAUUAAGUUUGGUGUGAAAUCUCCCGGCUCAACUGGGAGGGUGCGCCGAAUACUGAAUGACUUCGAGUGCGGGAGAGGAAAGUGGAAUUCCUGGUGUAGCGGUGAAAUGCGUAGAUAUCAGGAGGAACACCGGUGGUGUAGACGGCUUUCUGGACCGUAACUGACGCUGAGACACGAAAGCGUGGGUAGCAAACAGG
rnacentral:rRNA from 1 species